rnacentral:misc_RNA from 1 species
GAUGAAGAACGCAGCGAAAUGCGAUAAGUAAUGCGAAUUGCAGAAUUCCAGUGAGUCAUCGAAUCUUUGAACGCACAUUGCGCCCUUUGGUAUUCCGAAGGGCAUGCCUGUUCGAGCGUCAUUAUCACCCCUCAAGCCCUCGGCUUGGUGUUGGACGGUUUGGUGGAGGCCCCCUCGGGGGCUCCUGCCCCUCCCAAAGACAAUGACGGCGGCCUCGUUGGACCCCCGGUACACUGAGUUCUUCACGGGACACGUAUCGGACACAUGGGUUUACGGGACACGGUUUGCCUCCCCUCAGGGAGAAUCUUUCUAAGGUUGACCUCGGAUCAGGUAGGGAUACCCGCUGAACUUAAGCAUAUCAAUAAGCGGAGGA